UUGGGGGGACAAUAAAUAUGUGACGGACUAAGGGAAGCAGCAUGAGACAGCAAACAUUUAAUGGAAGAUGUUCAUGGAAAAUAAACUUUAUUCCCUCGGAUUUUGUGAGGCCAAUGAGUACCCCUCGUCCCAGAGAGGAGUUGUACAGUCUACUGGCGUGUGGGACAAAGGAGUUCUUGAGUCUAUUAGUCCUGCACUUGGGAUGAAGCAGUCUAGCACUGAACAGGCUCCCCUGGCUACUGAUAACGCUAUGCAGAGGGUGACUGGCAUCAUCCAGGAUGCUCACUAGUUUGUCCACAGUCCUCUUCUCUGCCACCGUCACCAGUGAGUCCAGUUUCACCCGUGGACAGACCCCCUCCGACUAUCAGUGUGCGGCCUCAGUGGAAAAAGUUUGGACACCCCUGUCAUAGAGGACGGGGUGAAAGCGAAACGGGAACGCGGACACGUUUGAAAGCGGAGGAUUCCCCACAACAACGGCGGAGGACUGCGCUGUUUGUGCGGCAAAGAGCACGCUAAUAAGAUUAAUGUGCUUUUUCUUUAUUUGGCACUGGCAAACUUGACUGAAACAUCAAGGGAAACCAGAGUGAUGUCAGAGGGGAAUUUUCAAACCUCUCUGGAGGCUUCUUUUUUUUUUUUUUUUCUGUCAAAUCCCCCCCACCUCGCCCGCGACGUGCGGAGCGGUGCUCCCCCUCUUUUGCAUGAACCCAGCGACACUGACGAGUACGCGGAAAGAAGGUUCAAAGCGUGGGCGUCUUUGAAGAAAUCGAAAGCUGACGCAAAUCAAAGCGAUCGUUUUGUGUCUCAGGAUGACAAAAGUGAGUCGAUGUGGAUAUACUUUAGAGUAGUCAGGGUACAGCUUGCACAGGGGCAUAGAUUUACUAUCCAUUCAUACUGAGUCAACAAACUGACAUAAUCAUCUAACGGGGUUUCCGCGGGUCGUCAAAAGUCAUUCAAUGGACUUUGCGAAAAUGAAGGCCUUAAAUUGGCAAUUGGCAACAAAAAACACAACAAAACAAACCACCCAACUCUGUUUACCCAAUAAGGAGAUGUUCAAUAUUUAUUGAAGUACAAUUUUUGUAUUAAAAAGUUUGUAAAAUUGCAAUCUGCAACAAAAAACACAACAAAACAAACCACCCGACCCCGUUUUUACAAUUAGGGUAAAAAAAUCUGCACUUAGAGAUGUGCAAUAUUUAUUGAAGUACAAUUUUUGCAUUAAAAAGUUGUACCCCGCCUUCCGCCCGAUUGUAGCUGAGAUAGGCGCCAGCGCCCCCCGCGACCCCGAAAAGGGAAUAAGCGGUAGAAAAUGGAUGGAUGGAUGGAUGGAAGUUUGUACAAUUGCAAUCAGCAACAGAAAAGACAAUAAAACAAACCACCCAACUCAGUUUUUUCCAAUUAGGGGUAAAAACUGCACUUAGAAAUGUUCAAUAUUUAUUGAAGUACAAUUUUUGUAUUAAAAAGUUUGUACAAUUGCAAUCGGCAACAAAAAACACAACAAAACAAACCACACGACCUCGUUUUUACAAUUAGGGUAAAAAAAUCUUCACUUAGAGAUGUGCAAUAUUUUUUGAAGUACAAUUUUUACAUUAAAAAGUUUGUACAAUUGCAAUCAGCAACAGAAAAGACAACAAAACAAACCACCCAACUCGGUUUUUCCAAUUAGGAGAUGUUCAAUAUUUAUUGAAGUACAAUUUUUGCAUUAAAAAGUUUGUACGAUUGCAAUCUGCAACAAAAAACACAACAAAACAAACCACACGACCUCGUUUUUACAAUUAGGGUAAAAAAAUCUGCACUUAGAGAUGUGCAAUAUUUUUUGAAGUACAAUUUUUGCAUGAAAAAGUUUGUACAAUUGCAAUCAGCUACAAAAAAGACAAUAAAACAAACCACCCAACUCAGUUUUUUCAAUUACGGGAAAAAAAAUACACUUAGAGUUGUUCAAUACUUAUUCAAGUAAAAUUUUUGCAUUAAAAAGUUCAUAAAACGGCAAUCGGCAACAAAACAGACAACAAAACAAACCACCCGACCCAGUUUUUCCAAUUAGGGGAAAAAAAACUGCACUUCAAAAUGUUCAAUAUGUAUUUAAGUUUACUCUUUGCUAACAGAAAUUGUGAGUACUUUUUUUUUUUAAAUAAUCCCAUUAAAGUAAUUAAAAUAUUUUUUCCAAAAUAAAGGCCUAAAGUUGGCAAUUAGCAACAACAAAGACAACAAAACCAACCGACCGACCCAGUUUUUUCAAUUAGGGAGGGGAAACUGCACUUCAAGAUGUUCAAUAUUUAUUGAAGUGCACUUUUUGCAUUAAAAAAGUUCAUGCAAUUGCAAUCGGCAACAAAAAAGACAAAAAAAACAACAACACAAAACACCCGACACAGGUUUUCUACUUAGAGGGGAAAUAACUGCACUUUAAGGAUGUUGAAAAUAUAUUGAAGUGCAAUUUUUGAGAACAUAAAUGUCCAUUUUAUUCUUAAAAACAAUCCCAUAGAAGUAAUUAAAUGGAUGGAUUUUGCGAAAAUGAAGGCCUUAAAUUGGCAACUGGCAACAAAAAAGACAACAAAACAAACCACCCGACCCAUUUUUUCCAAAAAAAACACACACAAGAUGUGAAAUUUUUAUUGAAGUGCAUUUUUUGCAAACAGUAAGCGAGACUCCAUCUUAUUUUUUUUUGUUAAUGAAGUUAUUGACCUUCCAGUGACAAUAGUAAAAAGAGUGAGACUGGAGACCCCGCCGCCGUUAUCUAUCCCCGCAGUGGUCCCGCAUCAACAUGGCAGACUUUGCGGAGCCUUCCGCCGGUUCCAACGACGCCACCGGGGAGACGAGGGAGUUCCACGCGCUAACUGGCGCUCGGCCGCUUCCACGCAAUGCAGAUGCAAGUUCUCGUCUGGGCUUUUCAGGUGAAAAUGAGCUCACACAUCAAAGUCACACGAGCACAACUGAAGUCCUCAUCGUGCAUUGUGCUGCUGCCUUUGUCAAAUUGCAAAUGGCGGGGAAAAAGAGGGCAAUUAUCACUCUUAGUGGGGCAGCAGUGGGGGGCAUUUGUGCAUUAAAGAUGCUAAAACACUCCCAUUGUAGGCUAAUAUAUGCUAAGCUAUCUGAGUAAAACAUUUUUUUAUGUGUGACAAAGCAAACAAGUGCAAUAUCUGAUAAUGACAGAAAUGUUUACAUAUACAUAUAUAUAUAUAUAUACAUAUAUAUAUAUACAUAUAUAUUUAUUUAUUGGGGUUUUUUUUGUUGCCGAUUGAAAUUGUUUGAACUUUUUUUAAUGCAAAAAUUGGAUUUCAAUAAAUAUUGAACAUCUGUAAGUGCACUUUUUUCCCCUAACUAGAAAAACUGGGUCAGGUGGUUUGUUUUAUUGUCUUUUUUUGUUGCCAAUUGCAAUCGUACAAACUUUUUAAUGCAAAAAUUGUACUUCAAUAAACAUUGAACAUUUCUAAGUGCAGUUUUUACCCCUAAUUGGAAAAAACUGAGUUGGGUGGUUUGUUUUGUUGUGUUUUUUGUUGCCGAUUGCAAUUGUACAAACUUUUUAAUGCAAAAAUCGUACUUCAAUAAAUAUUGAAGAUUUCUAAGUACAGUUUUUUUUAACCCUUCAUUGAAAAAACUGAGUCGGGUGGUUUGUUUUUUGGUGUUUUUGUUGCCGUUUGCUAACGUACAAACUUUUUAAUGCAAAAAUUGUACUUCAAUAAAUAUUGAACAUCUCUAAGUGCAGUUUUUUUCCUGUAAUUGGAAAAACUGUGUCAAAUGGUUUGUUUUGUUGUCUUUUUUGUUACAAUUUCAAUUGUACAAACUUUUUAAUGCAAAAAUUGUACUUCAAUAAAUAUUGAACAUCUCUGCAGAUUUUUCCCCCCUAAUUGGAAAAGCUGAGUCGGGUGGUUUGUUUUGUUGUGUUUUUGUUGCCGAUAGCAAUUGUACAAACUUUAAUACAAAAAUUGUACUUCAAUAAAUAUUGAACAUCUCUAAGUGCAGAUUUUUUUCCCCUAAUUUUUAAAACAGGGCCGGGUGGUUUGUUUUGUUGUCUUUUUUGUUGCCGAUUGCAAUUGUAUGAACUUUUUUUUAAAUG